rnacentral:rRNA from 2 species
GGCAGGCGGCGUGCUAAUACAUGCAAGUCGAGCGAACUGAUUAGAAGCUUGCUUCUAUGACGUUAGCGGCGGACGGGUGAGUAACACGUGGGCAACCUGCCUGUAAGACUGGGAUAACUUCGGGAAACCGAAGCUAAUACCGGAUAGGAUCUUCUCCUUCAUGGGAGAUGAUUGAAAGAUGGUUUCGGCUAUCACUUACAGAUGGGCCCGCGGUGCAUUAGCUAGUUGGUGAGGUAACGGCUCACCAAGGCAACGAUGCAUAGCCGACCUGAGAGGGUGAUCGGCCACACUGGGACUGAGACACGGCCCAGACUCCUACGGGAGGCAGCAGUAGGGAAUCUUCCGCAAUGGACGAAAGUCUGACGGAGCAACGCCGCGUGAGUGAUGAAGGCUUUCGGGUCGUAAAACUCUGUUGUUAGGGAAGAACAAGUACGAGAGUAACUGCUCGUACCUUGACGGUACCUAACCAGAAAGCCACGGCUAACUACGUGCCAGCAGCCGCGGUAAUACGUAGGUGGCAAGCGUUAUCCGGAAUUAUUGGGCGUAAAGCGCGCGCAGGCGGUUUCUUAAGUCUGAUGUGAAAGCCCACGGCUCAACCGUGGAGGGUCAUUGGAAACUGGGGAACUUGAGUGCAGAAGAGAAAAGCGGAAUUCCACGUGUAGCGGUGAAAUGCGUAGAGAUGUGGAGGAACACCAGUGGCGAAGGCGGCUUUUUGGUCUGUAACUGACGCUGAGGCGCGAAAGCGUGGGGAGCAAACAGGAUUAGAUACCUGGGUAGUCCA